UACGAAGGGGGCUAGCGUUGUUCGGAAUUACUGGGCGUAAAGCGCACGUAGGCGGACCUGUAAGUUGGGGGUGAAAUCCCGGGGCUCAACCUCGGAAUUGCCUUCAAGACUGCAGGGCUUGAGGUCGGGAGAGGUGAGUGGAAUUCCCAGUGUAGAGGUGAAAUUCGUAGAGAUUGGGAGGAACACCAGUGGCGAAGGCGGCUCACUGGCCCGUAACUGACGCUGAGGUGCGAAAGCGUGGGGAGCAAACAGG
rnacentral:rRNA from 1 species